ACACACGGCGGGUGCUAACGUCCGUCGUGAAGAGGGAAACAACCCAGACCGCCAGCUAAGGUCCCAAAGUCAUGGUUAAGUGGGAAACGAUGUGGGAAGGCCCAGACAGCCAGGAUGUUGGCUUAGAAGCAGCCAUCAUUUAAAGAAAGCGUAAUAGCUCACUGGUCGAGUCGGCCUGCGCGGAAGAUGUAACGGGGCUAAACCAUGCACCGAAGCUGCGGCAGCGACGCUUAUGCGUUGUUGGGUAGGGGAGCGUUCUGUAAGCCUGUGAAGGUGUGCUGUGAGGCAUGCUGGAGGUAUCAGAAGUGCGAAUGCUGACAUAAGUAACGAUAAAGCGGGUGAAAAGCCCGCUCGCCGGAAGACCAAGGGUUCCUGUCCAACGUUAAUCGGGGCAGGGUGAGUCGACCCCUAAGGCGAGGCCGAAAGGCGUAGUCGAUGGGAAACAGGUUAAUAUUCCUGUACUUGGUGUUACUGCGAAGGGGGGACGGAGAAGGCUAUGUUGGCCGGGCGACGGUUGUCCCGGUUUAAGCGUGUAGGCUGGUUUUCCAGGCAAAUCCGGAAAAUCAAGGCUGAGGCGUGAUGACGAGGCACUACGGUGCUGAAGCAACAAAUGCCCUGCUUCCAGGAAAAGC
rnacentral:rRNA from 1 species